UGCCAUGAGUUGAUCGAAAGAUUUGAAUGGACAUCCGAACUCAAAUUUAAUCUGUGAUUAGCUAAGACCCUUGAGAUUCAAUGCAAAAGAAGGAUCUUUAGGUGAUCUGUUGGCCUUAGUUUUUAUAUAGAGUUUGAUCUUUUUGAUGGAGGAUCGACAUCAAUUGGUAGUUUUAGGGAUCGGACUACUAUGGUGCAUCAUCUGCCAC
rnacentral:lncRNA from 1 species